CUCAAACGUUCUGCGCACAAAGGAACUAUUUUGCUUUUACAAUUAUCCCAAACUUACCCUCUUCUCGUACUAUUCAAAGACAAGAUGUCGCGAAAGUCAAGUAUUGUUCUUCAAUAGGGGUCUAAGACGGUGACCUGUAGGUAAUCUGUUGCCGUAAUAUAUCCGUUCGCAGCUGCGGAAAUUAAUAAAGAGUGGUGUCUUUCCUUCCUAUUAUUAUUCGCCAUAAUCACAUUCAUAGCUAUGCCACUUGAGCAUUUGGUUAACUAAAGGCAAUGAUGCCUUUGUACGUUUUCGAGCUUGAAGCCUCGGAGCAACUCGUUUGAGAGGUAGGCAUAUGUGAGAGUGUGCUUUUGAAAUUUAAAAAGUACAGCUCAAGGACUUCAUUCAGGUGAGAAGAGAAAGCCGGUGGUCUUUCCGGAGACUUAGCCAAUCGCGGAUGCCUGACGAAGUGUGUGAAAAGCUUUACUGAUAUACCUCUUUCUACAGGUUCUCUUUAUGCUAAACUAAACUUUAAACCCAAGAUGCAACAGCAGUUAUGCGAAAACCCGCAAGUUAUAUUAUGACGUUUCAUAAUGUAAGGCUUCGGUCAGGAGUUCUACGAGAUUUCUUUGUGGUACUGCAUCGAUGACACUAUUUCGUUUCUGGCUACUAUGUACCUCUCUCAUCGUUAGAGCACAAGAGGCUGCAGUGGAAUUCACGUUUCAUAUCAAAACAUGGAACUCUAGGUAAACAAUCGCUCUUUAACAAACGCCACUUCAUGUGAUGAUGACUUCAUGAAAGUAUGCAACUGCACGGCGAGUCGCAAAGUGUACGACUUGAGUGACUGCCAGCGACCUCAGCUCGAAUAAUAUGUGGGCACAUUUCUUAAAUUAACUUGUUAAUGUGAAAUACCCUGGCGGCUACGCAUGUACAAAAUAUUGAAUUGAUUAAACAAUA